rnacentral:rRNA from 1 species
UACAGAGGGUGCUAGCGUUAAUCGGAUUUACUGGGCGUAAAGCGCGCGUAGGCGGCUUGGCAAGUCGGAUGUGAAAUCCCUCGGCUCAACCAAGGAAGUGCAUCCGAAACUGCUGAGCUUGAGUACUUAAGAGGAUCGCGGAAUUCCCGGUGUAGAGGUGAAAUUCGUAGAUAUCGGGAGGAACACCAGUGGCGAAGGCGACUACCUGGCUUGUUCUUGACGCUGAGGCGCGAAAGCUAGGGGAGCAAACGGG